AGUGAACGCUGGCGGCAGGCCUAACACAUGCAAGUCGAGCGGCAGCGGGACCUUCGGGUUGCCGGCGAGCGGCGGACGGGUGAGUAAUGCCUAGGAAUCUGCCUGUUAGUGGGGGAUAACGCGGGGAAACUCGCGCUAAUACCGCAUACGUCCUACGGGAGAAAGCGGGGGCUCUUCGGACCUCGCGCUAACAGAUGAGCCUAGGUUGGAUUAGCUAGUUGGUGGGGUAAUGGCCCACCAAGGCGACGAUCCGUAACUGGUCUGAGAGGAUGAUCAGUCACACUGGAACUGAGACACGGUCCAGACUCCUACGGGAGGCAGCAGUGGGGAAUAUUGGACAAUGGGCGAAAGCCUGAUCCAGCCAUGCCGCGUGUGUGAAGAAGGUCUUCGGAUUGUAAAGCACUUUAAGUCGGGAGGAAGGGCUGCAGGUUAAUACCUUGCAGCCUUGACGUUACCGACAGAAUAAGCACCGGCUAACUUCGUGCCAGCCGCCGCCGUAA
rnacentral:rRNA from 1 species